AUUGAACGCUGGCGGCAGGCCUAACACAUGCAAGUCGAACGGUAACAGGUCUUCGGCUUCUGACGACUGGCGGCGAGGGGCGUAAUACUGCGGAACGCGUCCGAACCUGGGGGAUCACGACGGGAAAACUUUGCUAAUACCGCAUACGAUCUACGGGUGAUAGCAGGAGACCACACGGCCUUGCCCGAACGGAGCGGCCGAGGGGAGAUUAGGUAGGUGGUGGGAUAUAAGCUUACCAAGCCGACGAUCUGUAGCUGGUCGGUGAGGACGAGCAGCCACACUGGACCUGAGACACGGCCCAGACUACACUGGGAGGCGGCAGUGGGGAAUUUUGGACAAUGGGCGAAAGGCUGACCUAGUCAUGCCGCGUGGAGGAUGAAGGCCUUCGGGUUGUAAACUUCUUUUGUUCGGAACGAAAAGAAAAGGGUUAAUACCUGGGGCUUAUGAAGGUACCGUAAGAAUAAGCACCGGCUAACUACGUG
rnacentral:rRNA from 1 species